rnacentral:rRNA from 1 species
UACAGAGGAUGCAAGCGUUAUCCGGAAUGAUUGGGCGUAAAGCGUCUGUAGGUGGCUUUGUAAGUCCGCCGUCAAAUCCCAGGGCUCAACUCUGGACAGGCGGUGGAAACUACCAAGCUGGAGGACGGUAGGGGCAGAGGGAAUUUCCGGUGGAGCGGUGAAAUGCGUAGAGAUCGGAAAGAACACCAACGGCGAAAGCACUCUGCUGGGCGGACACUGACACUGAGAGACGAAAGCUAGGGGAGCGAAUGGG